GACGCAGCGACGCCGCGUGAGCGAAGAAGGCUUUCGAGUUGUAAAGCUCUGUAAUAAGGGAAGAACGCUGUAUAUACGAAGAGUAUAUGCAGCUGACGGUACCUGGGAAGGAAGCCCUGGCUAACUACGUGCCAGCAGCCGCGGUAAUACGUAGAGGGCAAGCGUUGUCCGGAAUCACUGGGCUGAAAGGGUACGUAGGCGGAUAUAUAAGUCAAAUGUGAAGGGCACCGGCUUAACCGGUGAGCUGCAUUUGAAACUGUAUAUCUUGAGUUCAGGAGAGGAGAGUGGAAUUCCUGGUGUAGCGGUGGAAUGCGUAGAUAUCAGGAAGAACACCAGUGGCGAAGGCGGCUCUCUGGCCUGAAACUGACGCUCAGGUACGAAAGCUGGGGUAGCAAACG
rnacentral:rRNA from 1 species